CUGAAGAUGAGGGUUUGAAUUGCUGGGUCAGAAACAUCCCCUGGAAGAGGAAAUGGCAACCCACUCCAGUGUUCUUGCCUGGAGAAUCCCAUGGACAGACGAGCCUGGCGGGCUGCAGACCACGGGACUGCACAGAGUCGGACAUGACCUAGUAACUGAACACACGCACACAUACUCACACACACACACAGUUAUUAAGUAUAAUGGCUAAUGUUGUAUAUAAGCAGUCAGUUUCAUUGCUUAAUAUAAUCACAUGUCUGAUUCUGUUGGCAAAAAAAAAAAAAAAAAGAUUUGCAAACAAUCUAAGAUGACUAAAAUCUAUUUUAUCUUAGUAAUUUCAUUGGCCAAGAAUACAAAUGUACUCGAAGAUACAAAAUUUACCUUUUUUUCCAUGGCUAUACCAAUGAUAUGUCCUAUACUAAUAUUAGAAAAUGGCUAUGUUUUCGUCUUUAUAAUGAGGCAUAAGAUCCUUUAGAGGUUAUCUGGUAAGAGUGGUAAAAGGAAGACCUUGGUGUUAGUACACUAUUCAUGCUGUGUGAUAUUUUGUUAUAUAUGUUGAGUGUUCACAACUCCAUAACUUAUAGCAAAUGUUAUGAAAUGCAUACAUAACGGAUUCUCACUUCUAGAUUUGGCACUUACCACAUUUUUUUUACAUAGGCAAAAGCUUUAUCAAGUAUACUUUUAAUUUUGUUUUUAAUAUCACGGUUUUAGCACUGGUUAAUGAUAAUACAUGAAAGGUGGGUUUAGCCAAUAAUAGAGUCUCCAUGCUUGAUAUUCUGUUCAAGGAGCGUUUGAUAUAUCUGAACAUUUUGAAAAGGAUGCAGAUGUUACUAACCCACCCUGCCUUCCCUUGGAACCAGAAUGGCUGUCAUCAAAAAGCACACAAAUAACAAAAGGUAACAAGGAUAUGGAGAAAAGGGAACCUUUGUACACUAUUGAUGGGAAUGUAAAUUGGUGCAGCCACUGUGAAAAACAGUAAGGAAGUUUCUCAAAAAGCUAAAAACAGAACUACCAUAUGACCCAGCAAUUCCAUUCCUGAGUAUAUCCAAAGAUACUGAAAACACUGAUUUGAAAAGAUAUAUGCACCCUAGUGUUCAUGACAGCAUUGUUUAUAGUAGCCAUGAGAUGGAAGCAAGAUAAGCGUUCACGCACAGACACACACACGCAUAUACGUUAACACAAGGGCAUAGUGAGAGUGAAGUCGCUCAGUCGUGUCCAGCUCUUUGCGACCCCAUGGACUGUGGCCUACCAGGCUCCUCUGUCUAUGGGAUUUUCCAGGCAAAAAUACUGGAGUCGGUUGCCAUUUCCUUCUCCAUGGGAUCUUCCCAACCCAGGGAUCGAACCAGGGUUGCCGGCAUUGCAGGCAGACACUUUACCAUCUGAGCCACCUCAAUAGCAUGCCAGUCAGCCAUAAAAAAGAAGGAAAUCCUGCCAUUUGUAAUAACAUGGAUGAUAACUAUGAUAAGUGAAUAAUUCAGACAGAGAAAUACAAAGCUAUAUGAUACUACUUAUAUAUAAAACCUAAAAAAGAAACACACACACACACACACUAGUGAAUGUAACAAAAAAGACUCACAGAGAUCAAGCUAGUAGUUAGCAGGAGAAACAGGAGCAGGGGAGAGGCAUAAGGG
ensembl:lncRNA